rnacentral:lncRNA from 1 species
AUGCCAUUCCCAGGAGAUAGGGAAAGGCCUCCAGGUGCCGGCCCCCGGCCCCAGACAGAGGACCCCUUCUUCAUCUCACCUCUGUGCCCCUGCAAAGUGGAUGCACUGACUUCCUGGUCCUUCUGGCAUCCUCUGGGCCACCAGCCAUGGGCACAGGCCACCCAGCCACUCCAUGUGCACCAAUCGAAGAGGGAGGGAGGCCAUACACCGGUUGAAUGCUUAGUAGGAGACUUCCCACAUCCUCUACAGCAAGCACGCAUCACUCCCAUGACCUGACACAGACAAUGAUUCCAGCACGAGCCCUCUCGUUCCCAAGGCUGAGGGGGAGGAAUUCUUAGACAUCAAGAAGCUGGCCUGUCCUUGUGCUUGGGUUUGAAACAGAGGGGCCUCUUUCUCCGCUGCCUCGGCUGGCGGCUGCUAUGACAUCACCCAUGUGGUGUGUAACUCGAGAAGCGUGUCAGGAAUAGUUGGGACUGAUUGAUCACGCGUGCUGGGGUCCUCUCCCAGCAGCCUUGAGCAGGCCCGGCUGGCAGCUGGCUAUGUCUCUCAGCAGCGCCUGGUCCGGGAGCUGCAUCCUCACCCUAUGGGACAGAGCUCUGCAGAUGAGCAUGGAGGGCUCAUGUUUCAGACCAG